UAGGGGGUGUUUGGUUUUAGAGACUAAUUUUUAGUCCCUCCAAUUUAUUCCAUUUUAGUCACUAAAUUGUCAAAUAUGAAAAGUAAAAUAGAGUUAUAGUUUUCAUAUUUUGCAAUUUAUAGACUAAAGUGGAAUAAAAUGAAGGGACUAAAAAUUAGUCCCUAGUAACCAAACACUACCUUAAUUUCAAGCAAGUC